UAUGAUUAAACGCGAUCGGAGUGAAUUUAGUGUUUUACUCGAUAGAUUGAAUAAAUAGGCUAUGAAAUUAUAUUCAUGUAUAUCGAGUAGUAUUUCUCAGUGAUAUUAUUACAAUAAAAAUUAAAUCCGAUGCACGAUCAAAUAAUCACCGUCACGUUGAGUUAUAAAUUGAAUAAUUUUCAAACAGUUGUCCUACGAUAAUGGGGACGGGUGCAGUCACUGUUAUAGGUAAUUUAAUGUACAUUAACGU